rnacentral:lncRNA from 1 species
CAGUACUGAGUGUCCUCCAAGCCUCACUUUUCCCCCUGCGGUCCGGCAGAGAAUGGUGGCGUCACCCUAGAGCGAGGAUUUGCAGACCAACUGGAGUGUCUCCUUCCUGAGCAUUCAGCCUACAAUCCCAAGGGACUGAGUUGGCUCCAGUGCAGUAUACAUGGAAGUGGUACUUGCUCUUUGGGGCUUGGCCUCAGAACUAUCCUGGCUCAGGCAAUGUGGGCAGGAGAGAAAAGGCCAGAGGGAUGGUUCUCAGGAGAACACAGUAUGAAGUUGCUUACCUGCAGUCAACAAAAUGUCCUCAGACAUCCACUUCGGGGUGUAUUCCACUGCUACUGUGUAUGCAUUCAGCGAGGCAUCUUAUCUAUGUGACCAUUCAGAUACUAUACACAGGUUCAUACCAAGAAUAUGCUAAGGCAACUGACUAUAUAUACUGUGUCAACUA